rnacentral:rRNA from 1 species
UAGGGAAUCUUCCGCAAUGGACGAAAGUCUGACGGAGCAACGCCGCGUGAGUGAUGAAGGUUUUCGGAUCGUAAAGCUCUGUUGCCAGGGAAGAACGCUUGGGAGAGUAACUGCUCUCAAGGUGACGGUACCUGAGAAGAAAGCCCCGGCUAACUACGUGCCAGCAGCCGCGGUAAUACGUAGGGGGCAAGCGUUGUCCGGAAUUAUUGGGCGUAAAGCGCGCGCAGGCGGUCAUUUAAGUCUGGUGUUUAAUCCUGGGGCUCAACCCUAGGUCGCACUGGAAACUGGGUGACUUGAGUGCAGAAGAGGAAAGUGGAAUUCCACGUGUAGCGGUGAAAUGCGUAGAGAUGUGGAGGAACACCAGUGGCGAAGGCGACUUUCUGGGCUGUAACUGACGCUGAGGCGCGAAAGCGUGGGGAGCAAACAGGAUUAGAUACCCCCGUAGUCC